AGCGGGAAGUAGUUUACUACUUUGCCGGCGAGCGGCGGACGGGUGAGUAAUGUCUGGGAAACUGCCUGAUGGAGGGGGAUAACUACUGGAAACGGUAGCUAAUACCGCAUAACGUCUUCGGACCAAAGUGGGGGACCUUCGGGCCUCACGCCAUCGGAUGUGCCCAGAUGGGAUUAGCUAGUAGGUGGGGUAAUGGCUCACCUAGGCGACGAUCCCUAGCUGGUCUGAGAGGAUGACCAGCCACACUGGAACUGAGACACGGUCCAGACUCCUACGGGAGGCAGCAGUGGGGAAUAUUGCACAAUGGGCGCAAGCCUGAUGCAGCCAUGCCGCGUGUGUGAAGAGGGCCUUCGGGUUGUAAAGCACUUUCAGCGAGGAGGAAGGCCAAUAACUUAAUACGUUGUUGGAUUGACGUUACUCGCAGAAGAAGCACCGGCUAACUCCGUGCCAGCAGCCGCGGUAAUACGGAGGGUGCAAGCGUUAAUCGGAAUUACUGGGCGUAAAGCGCACGCAGGCGGUUUGUUAAGUCAGAUGUGAAAUCCCCGCGCUUAACGUGGGAACUGCAUUUGAAACUGGCAAGCUAGAGUCUUGUAGAGGGGGGUAGAAUUCCAGGUGUAGCGGUGAAAUGCGUAGAGAUCUGGAGGAAUACCGGUGGCGAAGGCGGCCCCCUGGACAAAGACUGACGCUCAGGUGCGAAAGCGUGGGGAGCAAACA
rnacentral:rRNA from 1 species